rnacentral:ncRNA from 1 species
CUAAAAGCUAUGAUGAGGAAGAGUAAAUAAAUUACUAUUCUAAGAGAGAGAAACCCAUUGGCUGAAAGGUUUCUUGAAUAAGUUUUAUUGAAAACCACCUCGAAGUUGAUUAUUGAAAUUUAGGUAUUCUAAAAUAUCUUUAGUAGAUAAUUCCGUAAACCUGCGUUAAAGGUAUUUAAGUGACAGAGGUUAAUUAAACUUUAUUCUUCUGUAAUUUGGGUGGAAUCGCGAUAUAACUCGUCCCUUAG